rnacentral:rRNA from 1 species
GACGAACGCUGGCGGCGUGCUUAACACAUGCAAGUCGAACGGAAAGGCCCUGCUUUUGUGGGGUGCUCGAGUGGCGAACGGGUGAGUAACACGUGAGUAACCUGCCCUUGACUUUGGGAUAACUUCAGGAAACUGGGGCUAAUACCGGAUAGGAGCUCCUGCUGCAUGGUGGGGGUUGGAAAGUUUCGGCGGUUGGGGAUGGACUCGCGGCUGAUGAGCUUGUUGGUGGGGUAGUGGCUUACCAAGGCUUUGACGGGUAGCCGGCAUGGGAGGGUGACCGGCGACAAGGGGACUGAGAUACGGCCCAGUGGCGUACAGGGGGCAGCGGUGGGGAAUAUGGCACAGUGAGCGGGAGCCUGAUGCAGAGGCGCCGGGGGCGGGAUGACGGCCUUCGGGUAGUAAACCGCUUUCGGCUGUGACGAAGCGGGAGUGACGGUAAUGAGUAAAGAAGCACCGGCUAACUACGUG